UAGGGUGAACCUGCGGAAGGAUCAUUAAUGAUUGGCCUAACGGCCUUAUCAACAUAAUCCCUCACCUCUGUGAACCGUUGACCUCCGGGUCUACAUAACAAACAUCAGUGUAAAGAACGUCUUUAUAUUUUAACAAAAUAAAACUUUCAACAACGGAUCUCUUGGCUCUCGCAUCGAUGAAGAACGCAGCGAAAUGCGAUAAGUAAUGUGAAUUGCAGAAUUCAGUGAAUCAUCGAAUCUUUGAACGCACCUUGCGCCUUUUGGUAUUCCGAAAGGCAUGCCUGUUUGAGUGUCAUGAAAUCUCAAUCCCCCCGGGUUUUCUGAACCCGAGGUGGACUUGGACAUGGGUGUCUGCCGUCUCGUACGGCUCGCCUUAAAUGACUCAGUGGGAUCUUCAGCAUCCGUGGCAGACGUAAUAAGUUUCGUCUCGUCCCUUGCUGUGAGGACCGCUCAUAACCUGCCAUCGCGCACCACUUUUGACUCUGACCUCAAAUCAGGUAGGACUACCCGCUGAACUUAAGCAUAUCAAUAA
rnacentral:rRNA from 1 species